CACGUAGGGUGCAAGCGUUGUCCGGAUUCAUUGGGCGUAAAGGGCUAGUAGGCGGCUUAGCAAGUCGGGUGUGAAAACUUCAGGCUCAACCUGGAGCGGCCAUCCGAUACUGCUAUGGCUAGAGUCCGGUAGGGGACCACGGAAUUCCUGGUGUAGCGGUGAAAUGCGCAGAUAUCAGGAGGAACACCCGUGGCGAAGGCGGCACUCUGGGUCGGCCCUGACGCUGAGGCGCGAAAGCGUGGGGAGCGAACGGG
rnacentral:rRNA from 1 species